rnacentral:tRNA from 1 species
GGCGGAAUAGCUCAGUUGGUUAGAGCAAUUGGUUCAUAUUCAAUGGGUCGGGGGUUCAAGUCCCUCUUCCGCUA